GCAGGAGAUAUGAAACUUAGAUCCACCUCACGCAAAGAAAAUGAAGAUGCUAGUUCUUCUUCUCAUAAGAAUGUUAAAUCUCCAACUGUUGGAAGGUCUAGGAAGAAGGAAUGCUUAAUUCAGGACGGUAACAACUUAGUACAGGGUGAAGGUCAUGAUGGUCCUCCAAGUGAGAUGAUUACUGAUGCACCUAGCAGUGAUGACACACUAAGGAAAGAAGAGUGCAUAGAUGAAAGUGUAUGUAAAAAAGAGUUGAGUGAUAACAGAUCCUGGAAAGCUUUUGAAAAAAGCCUAUUUGAGAAAGGUGUGGAGAUUUUUGGGAGGAACAGUUGUUUAAUUUCCAGGAAUCUUUUAAAUGGUUUAAAAACUUGUUGGGAGGUUUU
rnacentral:misc_RNA from 1 species